rnacentral:rRNA from 1 species
GAUUGAACGCUGGCGGCAUGCCUUACACAUGCAAGUCGAACGGUAGAGUAGCAAUACUCGAGAGUGGCGAACGGGUGAGUAAUAUAUCGGAACGUGCCCAGUCGUGGGGGAUAACGUAGAGAAAUUUACGCUAAUACCGCAUACGAUCUAAGGAUGAAAGCGGGGGAUCGCAAGACCUCGCGCGAUUGGAGCGGCUGAUAUCAGAUUAGGUUGUUGGUGAGGUAAAAGCUCACCAAGCCGACGAUCUGUAGCUGGUUUGAGAGAACGACCAGCCACACUGGGACUGAGACACGGCCCAGACUCCUACGGGAGGCAGCAGUGGGGAAUUUGGGACAAUGGGCGAAAGCCUGAUCCAGC